GGCGUGUGCUCAGAGCAGGGGGUGUGAAGAAAUGGCUUGUUUACAACACAUCUGACAAGAAUCUGGGUUCAUUAGGACAAGGGGCACAAAACUUGCAGCCUUCCUAUAAACAAAUACCCAACACGU